rnacentral:lncRNA from 1 species
CACAGAUGAUGGAGGAGGGAUGAGGCACAUACUGCAGAGUGAACUCAGGUCCCCGGCAGGAUAGGAAGUUCUUCAAAACAAGUGACAACUUUUUUCUCCCUAAAAGCCACCAUUACCCAGUCCCCAGUACUGGCCACGGAAUAAGUUCAGGCACUCCACUUCACUGAACACACGUCGUCUGCUCAUUGCUCUACACAGCAAAGUGAAGUGACACUUACUCACUCAUAGAAUGGAAUUAAAAUUUUGAGGAGGGAUGUGUGUAAAAGGAAGAAAUCAUGAUGAGAUAUGUUUACUACCCAACAACAUAGAACAGGCUCUGUCACAUCUGACGAACCGGGAUGUUUUUUUACAGCCGGUCCAGUGAUGCACCCAAGCCCAGUAGCAAAACAGUGUUUUCCCAGCUCUUACUUUGAUUUGAAACAAAGAGUUUCAAAUUGUCUUCUUGAUUUCAAUGACAAUUUUGAUUAAAUUGCAGAAACAUUGAAUCAAAAGACUGUUGAUACCUUGUCCAAAUACAAACUAGACUCUGCUUAUCCAUUUGUGUAUUUGCUGACAGUGCAAGUGUACAUUCUGGCAAACUCCAUUCACCUGAUUAUCUUAUUACCAAAGAAAAUGACAAGAUUGGGAUCCCUGGGUGGCGCAGCGGUUUGGCGCCUGCCUUUGGCCCAGGGCGCGAUCCUGGAGACCCGGGAUCGAAUCCCACAUCAGGCUCCCGGUGCAUGGAGCCUGCUUCUCCCUCUGCCUAUGUCUCUGCCUCUCUCUCUCUGUCUCUCUGUGACUAUCAUAAAUAAAUAAAAAUUAAAAAAAAAAAAAAAGAAAAUGACAAGAUCCUACUUACUAAGUGUCCUCCACACCUCGUAUACAACACUGCUGGUAAGGUGAGGUCUGCUUACCUGGAAAGAAAAGUUUGGGUCACCUUUAGUUACCUCAAAAUAUGUGGAAACAAGAUUUUUAGCUUGAUAGAAAUGGAGGGAGAAAGCCUUCCUACAAGAUACCUAUCAUUGUUGCCAGUCAUAGGAAAGAUGUUAAAAUGUUUGCCUGCCAUAAAAUCUUAUUUUUCAAAGCAUGAGACAAGAGGAAUGUCCUUCUCUAAUUUGGAAAUACGUAAGGAUGAGAACAAAGAAGGGGAUUACAGGAAAAUGGAAAUUUAUAUACUGUUUUUCCAAAACUGCCUCCUGAGUGUCUGGUGCCCUAUGUGGAUUGUUGACGAGAACUCACAUGAGCAAAAAACAAACUCACUUUAUGACAACAGGACUGCUUCAGAACUCAAAAAUGUCACCAGAAAAGGGUAACUAAAUUUGACAUGACUUUCUCAUCCCUUUAGUAAAACUAUAACUUGUUUGAAAUCCAGCUUUGAUUUCAAGUUUCAAAGACCUCUGUGCUUUAAGACCAUUCACCUGAGAGAGAGAAAUUUAACAUAUGGUGACUUCCAAUAUGCUUUGGAGUGUUUAAAAUGGACAUUUUAGGCAUGGGGAACCAAAAUGAUAAAUUUACAUACACAAAGGAACUGAUAAACGUCUGGUCUACCAAAGCAGGCCUAUGCAUACAGGCGGGUGGACGUUCUUUGAAUGCUGGAAACAAAUUCCCGCAAGUGCUCAUAGGGUGUCAUCACAUUGGACUGACACCAGGAAUCUGAGUUUCAGUGGCUUGAUAGAAACAGCUGCAAGUAAGCGUGAGCCGUGCACUUGACUAUAUCCCGUUUCCCGCUGCAUAAGUGAAGAGAAGGAUGUCCUAAAUUUCAGAGAAGCGGUGCUGGAAAAGGAAACAGGAAGAGUGGAAGAAGCUGCUCAGAGUGUCCUGAGACACAAGGAAGCAGUUCACGACCUGCUUUAUUAGUCUUCUCGUAUCAAGGUACAGAUAAACACAACAGCUUGGAUGAAUCUCCAGGGAAUAUGAGGAGUCUAAAAAGCCAACCUCAAAAGCUUAUGUCUUGUGCAAUUCCAUUUAUGUAACAUUUCUUUUAAGUAAAUUACACCCAGCGUGGGGCUUGAACAACUCAUGACCUCGAGACCAAGAGUCAGAGCGUUCCACCCACUGAGCCAGGCAGGUGCCCCAAUUUAUGUAAAAUUUUUGAGAUGACAAAAUUGUAGAAAAGCAGGGCAGAUUUGUGGUUUCCAGGGGUUAAGGACAAGGGGGAAAUGUGACCAGGGGCUGAAUGGUUAUGGGAGAGCCACAGAGGAGACCCCUGUGAAGCUAAAGCCACCCAAAGAACCUCACAGGUGUGAAAAUGCACAGAACUAUGCGUCAUGCACACACCCAGGAGUGGGAGGGAAAUUGGGCAGAUCUGAAUAAGAUGGGUGGGUGGUAUCCAUGUCAGUCUCCUGGUUGUGAUAUUACACUGUGAGUCUAUAGUUACAGUUAAAAGUUUCAGUUAAACAGGUAGUUUCACAUUUAUGUGUCUUCAGAAUAUAACAUAGUCUCCAAAAUGUAUAUAUUUAAUAAAAGAUUUUUUAACAUAAAAAAAACAUUGUAUUAGAAGACAGACACACUAUACAAUUUUUAAAAUGAUUUCUUCUAUUCAUUACUACUAAUUGCACUAACUGGCCCUAUGGUUGUUUUGUUUAAAUAAUAGCAUUUAUGUAACAGAAAAAGUAAAUAAUACAAAAUAAUGCAUGGUUUUGAAGAAACACUUAUUUUCAUUUUUUUUAUGUUAAGUGAUAGCACACGUGUGGACAAUUCUUUUAUAUGAUAGUGCUUUGUUUUGGGGCAAAGUCUGAUAUGUCUUUGUCCCAGGAAGGCAUUCUAAAACCUCAAUCCCUUCAGCCCAUUCUAGGUGCUUGGGUCUAGUGGUGGGAACUUGGGGGUUGUCUCUGCAAGAAGGGGAUGCACUACACUUCUGUCUAAGUUGAAAGACCAUCAUCUCUGGGGAGAAUUCAGGGGGUGGAAUAGGUACUCAUCUGGCAAUUCACUGAACUUAGCAGCCAGGCUCAGAGGGAGCAGGGGCUGCAGGAUUGGAAGGAACCCACUUGAGAACACAGUCUAGAGAAACAGGCACCUGGGGGUUUGUGAGGAAAUCCUCCACCAAGACCCCAAAAGUCCCCAGACCCAUUGUCCUCAAAUUAAAGUGAUCUAUGGCCCCUCUCCAAUGGAAAAUCAUCUUCACAGACCCCCACCUCCACCCAGGAUGUUUAAACGAUUUUAAUUGUAACCUUUCUUAAAUACAUACAAAUGUAAAACUAAAUAUAAAGUCCUUGUGCUUUGGGCACUCAUGCAGCUAUGAAUCCAGUUGUAUCUACAAACUAAAUACUAUCAAAGAUGGUGCAUUAAUUGGGCUCCCGUGGGGAAUCCUGCCAAGGCUGAGCCCACCCCUGUGUUGUACUCAGUGAGGUGGAUGAGGGCUGGCUCUCCCCACACCUCCCCUGCUGGAACUCCUGAGUGGCUCUAGUGCACUGGUUAUGGGCCAUUUUUGUGCAAAUGAAUCAUUUUCAUUGCUUUCUCUUCUGUCAUUGGCUGACAGCAAUUACCUGAAGGCCCUUUAAUGCUAUUGCGUGCUUCCUGAAACACCACAUCUGCUCACACAGGAGCCACUCAGCUAGUGCCCUCAGAACCCUCCAAGAUAUCCUUGAAGUUAAAUAGAGAACUUUUCUAAAAAUUUCAAAUAAACAACCUAACAUUAUAUUUAAGAGAGC